UCGCCCUUAGAAGUUUGAUUCCUGGCUCAGAGCGAACGUUAGCGGCGGGCCUAACACAUGCAAGUCGCACGAGAAAGGGGCUUCGGCCCUGAGUAAAGUGGCGGACGGGUGAGUAACACGUGGGUAAUCUACCUUUCAAUGGGGGAUAACUGUCCGAAAGGAUAGCUAAUACCGCAUACGUCGUCGGAGGUUUCGAUCUUUGACGGGAAAGCCGGCCUCUCCACGGAAGCUGGCGUUGAAAGAGGAGCCCGCGCCCCAUCAGCUAGUUGGUAGGGUAAUGGCCUACCAAGGCUUAGACGGGUAGCUGGUCUGAGAGGAUGAUCAGCCACACUGGGACUGAGACACGGCCCAGACUCCUACGGGAGGCAGCAGUGGGGAAUAUUGGGCAAUGGGCGCAAGCCUGACCCAGCCACGCCGCGUGAGUGAUGAAGGCUUUCGGGUCGUAAAGCUCUGUGGGGAGGGACGAAAAAACAUUGGCUAAUAUCCAAUGGACUGACGGUACCUCCUUAGCAAGCACCGGCUAACUCCGUGCCAGCAGCCGCGGUAAUACGGGGGGUGCAAACGUUGCUCGGAAUCAUUGGGCGUAAAGCGCACGUAGGCGGCUCAGCAAGUCGGGUGUGAAAUCCCCUCGGCUUAACCGAGGAAGUGCAUUCGAAACUACUAGGCUUGAGUACUGAAGAGGAUCGCGGAAUUCCCGGGUGUAGAGGUGAAAUUCGUAGAUAUCGGGAGGAA
rnacentral:rRNA from 1 species